rnacentral:rRNA from 1 species
GAUGAACGCUGGCGGCGUGCCUAACACAUGCAAGUCGAACGGAGUUCUUAAGGAAUGCGACUUCGGUCAAAUGACUUUUGAACUUAGUGGCGGACGGGUGAGUAACGCGUGAGCAACCUGCCUUUCAGAGGGGGAUAACAUUUGGAAACAGAUGCUAAUACCGCAUAAGAUUACAGUACCGCAUGAUACAGUGAUCAAAGGAGCAAUCCGCUGAAAGAUGGGCUCGCGUCCGAUUAGAUAGUUGGUGAGGUAACGGCUCACCAAGUCGACGAUCGGUAGCCGGACUGAGAGGUUGAACGGCCACAUUGGGACUGAGACACGGCCCAGACUCCUACGGGAGGCAGCAGUGGGGAAUAUUGCACAAUGGGCGAAAGCCUGAUGCAGCAACGCCGCGUGAGGGAAGACGGUUUUCGGAUUGUAAACCUCUGUUUUCGGUGACGAACAAAUGACGGUAACCGAGUAGGAAGCCACGGCUAACUACGUGCCAGCAGCCGCGGUAAUACGUAGGUGGCAAGCGUUAUCCGGAAUUACUGGGUGUAAAGGGAGCGCAGGCGGGAUAGCAAGUCAGCUGUGAAAACUAUGGGCUCAACCCAUAAACUGCAGUUGAAACUGUUAUUCUUGAGUGGAGUAGAGGCAAGCGGAAUUCCGAGUGUAGCGGUGAAAUGCGUAGAUAUUCGGAGGAACACCAGUGGCGAAGGCGGCUUGCUGGGCUCUAACUGACGCUGAGGCUCGAAAAUGUGGGGAGCAAACAGGAUUAGAUACCCUGGUAGUCCACACUGUAAACG